rnacentral:rRNA from 1 species
ACGGAGGUCCCUAGCGUUGUUCGGAUUUACUGGGCUUAAAGCGCGUGUAGGCGGAUUGGAGCGUACCUUGUGAAAUCCCACGGCUCAAACGUGGAAUGGCUGGAUAUACGGACGACCUUGAGGCUGAUAGAGGUGCCUGGAACCUUAGGUGGAUCGGUGAAAUGCGUAGAUAUCUAAGAAAACGCCGGUAGCGAAAGCGGAGCACUGGAGCAGUCCUGACGCUGAGACGCGAAAGCUUAGGGGACAAAGGG